rnacentral:lncRNA from 1 species
CUGCCCCUCGUUCUAUCGCAGCCAAUCCGACCUAGACUCGACCAGUCUUGCUUGGAAACCGAGAACUCCAGAUCCUGCGCCUUGAGCACAAACAACCCACUGCUAUCUUUCUCCUCACUUGGUUCAGUAUUCCUGGAAUAUUUAGCUGCAUGACAGGAUGAAGAUCCACAACUAAAUACCAUUUAGCAUUGAUGGUUCAGUACCGUGGACAGCAGCACUCAUGUUGGGAAUGGGCCUUACUGAAAUCGCAGAGUGACUUUGUAAGUUUGGUAUAUCACAGAAUAAAUUUGUUGGCGUGGCUACAAAUGGAUAAGGUGCUGGCCAGAAUAUUAAAAUUCAUGGCCGAAUUAAUUUUUUUUUCUUCCCUUCAUGGAGGGGAGGAAAAAA